UUUUUCUGUGCACAUAUUUUCGUGAUUAUUUUUGUUCGGUGGUGUUCUGUGAGAUUUGUAAAAUGUCAAAUAUGUGCGUUGGCUGAGUAACGGUUGAGGAAACGCUGCUUUAGCUGAAUUGGAGAGUGGAAUAAGCCUCUGUCUCCCUCUCUCUGUCUCUCCCUCCCCCGUUUUAGCCUCGCUCCAACUCCCCUCCUCGCUCUUGUCAUUUUCUGCCCUCGUUUCCGCGGGUGAAAGUCCCGCGGGAGGCAGGCGCUCAGCUCCGCGGGAGAGCCGACGGGAUGAGGGAGAGGGAAACGGCGCUGACAGCUUCGUAGGUGGUAGACCGAAGUGAAGGCCCAAUACUGUAGGGAGAAAUAAGAAGUGCUUUUAGAAAGAGCAAAGCGCAGGUGGGGAAAAGCAAGAGGCUAAACGGAGGAGGGGGAAGAAACGCAACAGUAGGUCGUGACGUGUCGCCAUGACAACAGAGGCGGGCUCUGAGACAGAGGUGAAGGAGAAAGCGGAGAAGUCAGCCGCCGGGCUCGACCAAUCGGAGCAGGCCAGCGCGGAGAGCCAGGAAGUGGCCGGCGCUGAGGGAGACGCGGAGAAAGAGAAAGAGGGGAAGGGGAUAUCGCGCUACCUGCCGACAUGGUUUAAGAAGCAAAAGUCUGAGAGCCAGACCUCCCCGACCAAGGAGGUGCCGUCGCCGGAGAAGCCCGCCGGCAACCGCGAGGAGGUUCCGGAAGUGAACGGACACGCAGAGGAAGUAGAAGGGAAGGACGCGCUCAGUCCGAUCCGGGAGCGAGUCAAAGAAAAGGAAGCAGAGUGCCACUCCAACGCCAGCGCCGACACAGAGCCCGCCGAGGAAGAGGAAGUCGAGCGGAAAACCGUCGGGGGCGCCGAGGCCGCAGGUGAAGGAGGAGCCGAGGAGGAGCGGCCAGAGAAGAAGGACGAGGUGAAGGAACGAGCGCAGGGGGGCGAAGGCCAGACGACCAUUUUCCAGUCGCCGCUGCGCUUGGUGAGGAAGAGCAAGAUGAAGCUGGUGGUGUGUCACGUGACCCUCCUGGACGGCUCCGACUUCGCCUGCGAGGUGGAGAAGCGCGCCAAGGGUCUAUUCUUGUUCUUCAAGGUGUGCGAGCACCUCAAUCUGCUGGAGAAGGACUACUUUGGUCUGACGUACACAGACCACCACGAGCAGAAGUGCUGGUUGGACCCCACCAAGGAAAUCAAGAGACAAAUCCGCAGUAACAACUGGCAGUUUGCGUUCAACGUCAAGUUCUACCCACCUGAUCCCUCGCUGCUCACCGAAGACAUCACGAGGUACCUGUUGUGUCUGCAGCUCCGCGAAGACGUGGCGUCCGGCCGAUUGCCUUGCUCGUUUGUCACUCACGCUCUCCUGGGCUCGUACACGCUGCAGGCAGAAUUUGGCGACUAUGAACCCGACCAGCCUCGUCCUCUGGACUACAUCAGCCAGCUGACCUUUGCCCCCAAUCAGAGCAAAGAGAUGGAGGACAAGAUUCUAGAGCUACACAAGUCCCACAAGGGAAUGACACCAGCGCAGGCAGACGCACAGUUUCUAGAAAACGCCAAGAAGUUGUCUAUGUACGGGGUGGACCUGCACCACGCGAAGGAUUCUGAGGGCGUGGACAUCAUGCUGGGAGUGUGCGCCAACGGACUCUUGGUCUACAAGGACAGGCUUCGGAUAAAUCGCUUCGCUUGGCCCAAAAUCCUCAAGAUUUCCUACAAGAGGAACAACUUCUACAUCAAGAUCAGACCUGGAGAGACGGAGCAGUUUGAGAGCACCGUGGGAUUCAAACUCCAGAAUCAUCGCUCCGCCAAACGGCUGUGGAAAGUCUGCGUGGAGAACCACAGUUUCUUCAGGCUAAACGCACCAGAGCCCCCCACCACCCCGCGCUUCUUGACUCUGGGCUCCAAGUUCCGUUACAGUGGACGCACGCAGACCCAAACCCGCCUGGCCAGCACCCUCAUAGACCGGCCCGCGCCCGCUUUUGAGCGCACCUCGUCCAAACGCAUCAGCCGCAGCCUCGAUGGAGCACCAAUGAUCAGCAUAACGGAGGCCAGCCGGGACACCACUGAGAACGGACACGAGCCCCACCUGGACCUCCAUUGUGACUCCAAGGUUAAGGAGGCGGACUCGAGCCCUGGCCGUGUGGAAGCCACGCCCACCCAGAGUCCAGUGCGAGUGCGUGCGGAUAAUAUUUAUGUGAGGCACAGUAAUUUGAUGUUAGAGGACCACGAUAAGACCCAAGAGGAAGUACUGAAACACCAGGCUAGCGUUAGCGAGCUCAAGCGCUCUUUUAUGGAGGCGCCGCCGGCCUCCCCUCCGCAGCACAACCUGUGGGAGAAGCGCCUCAGCUCGUCUCCUGCCACCGCCACGCGCGCUCAGCGGCCCGCAGCGGUGCCCGAGACAGAAGGACCAGCAGCAGCCGCUUCGGCAGCAGAAAACGGCGACACCGAAGAACUCAGCAAGACGACGGAAGUUGAAAUUGAAGAAACUGUUGUGGUGCGAGAGGUUUCCACCAAAGCCGUCGUCCCGGAGGAGCGCAGGCAGGAAGUGAAAGUGGAAGAGAGUGCGGGGCUUGCGCAGAAGAAGAAGAUGAAGCAGCGGGAGAGCGUUUCGUCGGAGAGCGAAAGCGACGAGGAGGCGGAAUAUCACCCCAACGUGCUCGUGUCCAUCUCGCGCACUCAAAUACCCGAGGAGAAAGAGGAAGAAGAGGAGCGGGAGGAUGGAGUCAGCCUGCCCGCCCGGUCUGAAGAUCCAGCGGAAGAGAAGAAAGAAGGAGAAGAACCCACGGCGACGCCCGCCGAAGCUCCCAACGGACCGGCCCAGCACGAAGAGGACCGCGCCCGGCCGGUCGCUCCCGCGCAACAAGACCAAGUGCCCAGAGUGAACGGCGAGGCCACGGCGGUGGAUGCGCGUCCACAGGUUAUUUGUUGCUCUCAGCCGCCGGUGGUAAAGACAGAAAUGGUGACAAUAUCGGACACGUUCGCGGCACAGAAGACCGAGAUCGCGACCAAGGAAGUUCCCAUCGUGCACACGGAAACCAAGACCAUCACAUACGAGGCCGCACAGCUGGACGGAAGCGGCGACGGAGAGCCCGGAGUUCUGAUGACCGCUCAGACAAUCACCUCGGAAUCUCUGUGCACCACCACCACCACGCACAUCACCAAGACGUUAAAGGGCGGCCUGUCGGAGACGAGGAUCGAGAAGCGCAUCGUCAUCACUGGCGACUGCGACAUCGACCACGACGAGGCUCUGGCCCAGGCCAUCAAGGAGGCCAAAGAGCAACAUCCUGACAUGUCGGUCACCAGAGUGGUGGUUCAUAAAGAGACCGAGCUGGCCGAAGAGGAGGAUUGACCCAACGCAGGUAUUAGUCGUAAUAAUGGAAAUAAGAAUGUUUUCGUUGGCAUCAUUACUACAGUGGAACCUUCACAAUCCCAGAAAACGUAGAGAAUACAAGGCGGGCCAAAACUAGUGGGUUGCAACUUAGCGCCAACUGGAAAAUGGAGGUCCCACGGUGACAACAUUUCAAAACACCAAGAAUCUCUCUCCCCACUCUUACGUGCAGCGCUGAAGGAGCCGUUGGGGAUGUCAUGACCUAUGACCCGUGACCUGCGUCUUUCACCUUGACUGACAGAAGAGGCGCCAGAAGAAAACCAACACCAAGUCUCUCCCCCCCAAAAAAUAACAAUCAAGAAAAUAACAACACACACUUUGCGGGAGCAAAAGAACCACAUUGUUAGCUUAACAAUUGUAGCGUGUUUUUACUUCUUUUUGUUGUUUUUUUCAUAGUGCUUUUUUUUUUCUUUAUGACAUAAAAGAGACAAAGAGGGGAUGCACUGAUAAGCAACCAAGAUAAAAUAUGACGAUGAUAAUCUUCAUCAUUCAUAAAACUAGACACUGAAGUGUUGCACUUUGGGAAACGUUUUAUAUCUGUGUGUCUCCUCUUUAGUGCAGGGGUGGGGAAGCUACCGUACUUAAAAAAACUAAUAAAACCUCAUAGGAAUUGUGUAUAAAAAGCCCUAUAUGCUCAUAAUGUAUCAGAAUUCCCCCCUCCAAAAAAAAAAAAAAGAAAAGGUUCUCCACUCCUGCUCUAAUGUGAUAACAGAGCAGCUCCUUCCCUCACAUCAAUAAAUGUAAACAUAAUUCACCAUUUUGCAUAAAAGCCACCUAAAACACUCACAUACUAAUGGUACAAACAAGUGGUGACAUUCUAACCACUCAUUGACGUUUCCUGAUAUUCAAUCCUCACAUUUUAAACAAAAAAAAAAAAAAAAGGAAAAAAAACAUACACUUGAUAAAAAGCUUUCAGUUUGUUGUUUUUAUACGAAAUGUGAACGAGUUUAAGCUAAAACAGAUUUCUCUGCAGACACACUGAAAAGAAGGUGAUAGCAGAAAGGAGCCACAGCCGUUCCUGUUCCUGUCAACGGAAUGCAGGGAUCAUUUGGGAGAUUUUUUAUUUUAAGUUGUUUUAAUGUGAAACCACAUCGUUUGGACAUAAAAGUGCCACGAUGGGGUUUGGAAGCGUAUAGAUGACACACAAUCACAGCUCGAUACAGUUUAUCGACAACCCCAAUUCCAAUGAAGUUGGGAUGUUGUAUUAAACAUAAAUAAAAACAGAAUACAAUGAUUUGCAACUCAUGUUCCACCUAUAUUUAAUUGAAUACACUGCAAAGACAAGAUAUUUAAUGGGGCAAAGAUGGGGCGAGGUUCACCUCUUUGUGAACAAGUGUGUGAGAAAAUAGUCCAACAGUUCAAGGACAAUGUUCCUCAAUGUACAAUUGCAAGGAAUUUAGGGAUUUCAUCAUCUACGGUCCAUAAUAUCAUCAAAAGGUUCAGAGAAUCUGGAGAAAAAAACUGCAUGUAAGCGGCAAGGCCGAAAACCAACAUCGAAUGCCCGUGACCUUCGAUUCCCUCAGGCGGCACUGCAUCAAAAACCGACAUCGAUGUGUAAAGGAUAUCGCCACAUGGGCUCAGGAACACUUCAGAAAACCAAUGUCAGUAAAUCCAGAUCGGUACUACAUCCGUAAGUGCAACUUAAAAACUCUACUAUGCAAAGCGAAAGACAUUGAUCAACAACACCCAGAAACGCCGCCGGCUUCUCUGGGCCCGAGCUCAUCUAAGAUGCACUGAUGCAAAGUGGAAAAGUGUUCUGUGGUCCGACGAGUCCACAUUUCAAAUUAUUUUUGGAAAUUGUGGACGUCAUGUCCUCCGGGCCAAAGAGGAGAAGAACCAUGCGGACUGUUAUGGACGCAAAGUUCAAAAGCCGGCAUCUGUGACGGUAUGGGGCUGUGUUAGUGCCAAUGGCAUGGGUAACUUACACAUCUGUGAAGGCACCAUUAAUGCUGAAAGGUACAUACAGGUUUUGGAGAAACAUGUGCUGCCAGCCAAGCAACGUCUUUUUCAUGGACGCCGCAGCUUAUUUCAGCAAGACAAUGCCAAACCACAUUCGUAGCGUGGCUUCGUAGUAAAAUAUUUCGGCUACUAGAAGGCCAGACCUGUCUCCCAUUGAAAAUGUGUGGCGCAUUAUGAAGCGUCAAACACGACAACGGAGACCCCAGACUGUUGAACAGCUGAAGCUGUACAUCGAGCAAGAAUGGGAAAGAAUUCCACCUACAAAGCUUCAACAAUUAGUGUCGUCAGUUCCCAAACGUUUAUUGAAUGUUUUUAAAGUAAAAGAUGAUGUAACACAGCGGUAAACAUGACCCUGUCCCAGCUUUUUUGGAACGUGUUGCAGCCAUAAAAUUCUAAGUUCAUGAUUAUUUGCUAAAAACAAUCCAGUUUAUCAGUUUGAACAUUAAAUACCUUGUCUUUGUAGUGUAUUCAAUUAAAUAUAGGUUGAACAUUGAUUUGCAAAUCAUUGUAUUCUGUUUUUAUUUAUGUUUAACAAAAUGUCCCAACUUGAUUGGAAUUGGGGUUGUAGGUUAUGCUCGUCUUUGGCUGGCGACGGAAAGAUUCUGCAGUUCUUCAUUGUCACGCCAAUAGUGCAGUAAGGCUGCUUUUUCGGGGUGGCAUGAAUGCAGCACAAAAUUGGACAAGCAUAGAACAAUUUGAGGUGCCCUUUGUGACACGAGUACAAUAAAUGUUUAAGAAGAAAAAAAAACAUUCCACCUGCCUGACUGGAAACAAUUACUUUUUUAAAAAUUGGAUUUGUUCAAAUUUAAAACACCUUUACACAUGAAAUCCUCUAAAACGCUAAAUAUUUGGAAUCCACUGUCUGUUAAAAAAAUGUAUUUACGACAAUGGAGUCUUAUUAAAAACACUGGUCUUAACUUUGCAAUGUUUUGCGAUGACAUUCCACCGUAGGAAGAUGGAAAAUAUUUAAUUUUCGCUUCUCAUUCUUCUCUUUUUUUUUUUUUUUAAAUGCAUAUGAUGUCACAACUAUAUUUGUAGUUUUACUCUGCCCACAUUUGAUUUUCUUUGUGAAACUGUGGUCCAUUUGUAUUAUUUUUUUUCAUAUUGGUAAUGUUUUCCAGUGGAGGUGGGACAUUGAACACCACUGCAAAUCUGUUGUUUCACUCUAAGUUGCUGUAUAAAAGGAGCAGUGCGGCUGCAAAGCCAAUUCCUGGGGAUUUACCAAGAUUCCUGAAACCAAGGCAGCUCCGCAAAGUCACUCAAUUCUGCCUUUAAAAAAAAAAAUAUAUAUAUAUAUACACCUAUACUUUAAAAAAAAAAAACAUUGUCAUCAUUGAUUCAAAACAGCAUCUUUUGUAUUUUCUACAAAAAUACAUGAGAAAAACAAACAAAAAAGGAUUUGGGAAGUCAACAAGCAGCCCCAUUGCUCCUUGGUAGUCCAGGUUCUUUCUAUCUAGCCACUUAAUUGUCCUGCAUUUCCCCUCCAAACCCACACACACACAAAGCAAAUCCCUGUGUAACACUUUAAAUAAAGGAUUGUAAUACUCUC